AACGGUGACAGGAAACAGCUUGCUGUUUCGCUGACGAGUGGCGGACGGGUGAGUAAUGUCUGGGAAACUGCCUGAUGGAGGGGGAUAACUACUGGAAACGGUAGCUAAUACCGCAUAACGUCGCAAGACCAAAGAGGGGGACCCUCGGGCCUCUUGCCAUCGGAUGUGCCCAGAUGGGAUUAGCUUGUUGGUGGGGUAACGGCUCACCAAGGCGACGAUCCCUAGCUGGUCUGAGAGGAUGACCAGCCACACUGGAACUGAGACACGGUCCAGACUCCUACGGGAGGCAGCAGUGGGGAAUAUUGCACAAUGGGCGCAAGCCUGAUGCAGCCAUGCCGCGUGUAUGAAGAAGGCCUUCGGGUUGUAAAGUACUUUCAGCGGGGAGGAAGGGAGUAAAGUUAAUACCUUUGCUCAUUGACGUUACCCGCAGAAGAAGCACCGGCUAACUCCGUGCCAGCAGCCGCGGUAAUACGGAGGGUGCAAGCGUUAAUCGGAAUUACUGGGCGUAAAGCGCACGCAGGCGGUUUGUUAAGUCAGAUGUGAAAUCCCCGGGCUCAACCUGGGAACUGCAUCUGAUACUGGCAAGCUUGAGUCUCGUAGAGGGGGGUAGAAUUCCAGGUGUAGCGGUGAAAUGCGUAGAGAUCUGGAGGAAUACCGGUGGCGAAGGCGGCCCCUGGACGA
rnacentral:rRNA from 1 species